CCAACGGCCCUCUUUAGGGCCACCUACGUAUAUGAAUACAUCCUGU
rfam:Heterorhabditis bacteriophora unplaced genomic scaffold Scaffold1246, whole genome shotgun sequence.